GAACCAAAUGUGCAAUAAAUGCCUGGAACACAAAAACGUGAAUUUAAGGGAAUCCCUUUCCACUUGGAGUUCAGGUCUAAGCGCAGAAGGAAAAGCCUUCAAGAGGAUGAAUUAAUCCAAAUUGUUUAUUUCAGACAUAUUUUAGUAUAGGAAAAUAGCAACCUCUCCAGAGAACAAAGGAAAGAGGGAAGGAAAGAAAGAAUUUGAACUCUUCAUGAAGAAACUGCUUUUCCAUGGAAAGAUCUGAAAAAGGAAGAUGGUGAAUGAACUCUGAAACGUGGAUACUGGGGCCAAAUGACCUGCCUCAACAAAAUCUCUGGCAGAAAGCCAAACCUCUGCUGUUCCAGAAUAGCUCACCCCAGCUCCAGUGAUCAUCAUGCUCCAGAAGAUGAUUUCUGAAACCAGGGCCUAGUCUACUCAUGUUUGAGAUAAA